AUUAUGAACCCGUUGAAUCACAGGAUAACGACCGUUUAUAAGAGAUGUGUGUUCAGUGGUGCCCUUUUUCCACAAUCUUGCCUCGUCCAUUGUCUGGGGCAGGGUGUCAUACUCGAUGGUCUGUGAUGAGCGAGACUCCUUCGAUGUAUUGCAAGCACAGUAAAACCCAAGUUGCAUUCUUGCACAGCAUAGGCAGUUAAAAUCACACUGUCUGUAAUGUCGUUGCUGAGAGUUUUGGAAGGAAGUAUCCCAAGACAAAUUGUGAUACACAGGAUUUGUGGACAUCUUGCACGAGUGCUAUUCCAGAUAGACUGACACAUAAAGUACCCUCAAGUAUUGUACAUGUGUAAAGUGCCAAGGAGCAUGGAUUUCACGGUAUUCUUUCUAUAAGCAUAAAGAGAAGUUGACCGAAAGUCUAUUGUCGUCACCAACACCAAGUUUUGAGUACCCAGAGAGUUCCUUCAAUGCUCCAGAAUUCACUCAGCCACUCUUUGAAGGAUCCAGCACUUCAGUGUUAGAGGCAGUCACCAAACAUCUAUAUGUGUUUUCUGUGAACCAUGGGAUGUCAAAAACAGCUUUAUCAGACAGUCUCAUGUGUGAGAAGUCAUCUUUACCCCAGCCCAAUCACUUACCCUCAUCCUAUAAGGAAGCCAGGACACUUGUUGCGCCUUUGCUUAUGCCACUUCAAAAAUAUGACGUGUGUAUUAAUGACUGUGUCAUUUUUAGAGACAGCGGGGAAUAUGAAUAUGCAAACUUGAAUGAGUGCCCCCAAUGCCUGGAACCGAGAAAGGAAAAUGGGAAAUCAAGGAAAAUGUUCACAUAUAUGCCCAUUGGUCCUCGAUUAUCUAGGUGGUUUGGAACUGAAAACUUGUGUAAAUUGAUUUAUGAAAAAACAUUAACUGUUUCCAGAAGUGAAAACAAUGAAGUAAUCAGAGACUUUACUGAUAGUGAACAAUCCAUUCGUGGUUUAAAGCAGGACAGGUUUUUGAAAACUUGGGUAAAAACAGUUUUGUGCCUUUAUCAUUGUUUACCGAUGGAGUGAAUCCAAACAGAAAUUCAUCAGCCUGUCAAAAAUCCAUGUGGCCAAUAAUUAUAACUUGGAUUACUCUUCCACCUUCUGUAAGACAGUUAUUAGGACCCAUGAUGUUAAUGGGCAUCAUUCCAAGUGGGAAGAAUGGAUCUGAACCCAAGUCUCUGGAGCCGUACCUAUCCGUCGUUGUGGAUGAGCUUCUGUCUCUCACGGAAUUCACAGUCCUGAAUUCAUACACCUCUGCUCCAACGACUGUUAAAGUUGCGCUGUUGCGGUACCUGUGUGACAUUCCUGGAUAUUCCAAGCUUUUCCACCUGUCAGGACAUGGAGGAUUAAGAUCCUGUCCCUAUUGUCAAGAGCAUGGUCAUUAUUGCAAACAUUUGAGGAAAACCAUCCACAUUUCAAACAGGACCUUCCUUCCUUCAAACCAUCCAUUAAGGAAUUCAGAGGGAUUUGCUGUUCAAGGGCCGGACAGGAAUAGCAGACCAAAGGCAUAUUCUCUCCACGAAGAAACUGCACUCCGGGAUAUGUACCAGCAAAAGCCGAAUAAAAACCAGAAACAGAAGCAACAAAAGAGAACGGGAUUGAAAGGGAAUUACAUUCUGCAAAAACUGCCAUAUCAUAACCGCCUCGAACAGAUGUCUCCAGAUGGUAUGCACACACUGGCAGACUUUAUUAGCCAUCUAAUGGAAAUGCUUUCUGGGAAAUAUAAUGGCGAGAAAGUGCUCUCAUGUGAAAAAAACUUCAACAGGUUUCCAGAUAUCCACUCAGAAAUUAGUGAUGAUGAAAAAGAGCAGCCCAAGAAGAAAAGAAAGUUAGAUCCAAAUUCCAAACCUGAUGUAACCCCCCCAUGGUCUCUAUCAAAGGAACAGAUAAAGAUAGCAGAUGAGAGGGCACAACAUGUACUGUACACCAAUGCAGAGGAUAUUUCACCUGGACCCCACUUCAGCAAAUUGUGGACUUUGAGAACAAUGAAUUCAAAAAUACAGUUUGUGACAUCAGGAGCCUUAGAGUGGUGUAUACAGGGCUUGCUUCCCCCGACCCAGGAAAAGACUUUGAAGUGUGUGUGUGAUGUUUUGAAGAGGAUGGUCUCCCCUGUUAUACAUAUGUCAACGCUUGAUGAGCUGCAGAAAGAGACACAUGAGGCAUUUGCUCUUCUCGAAAGAGAUUUUCCUCUAACGAUGCAGAAUCUUACAACCCAUCUAAUUCAUCAUGUAGUGGAAGACCUGGCACGAUUUGGACCAAUGUAUGGCAGGUGGCUGUUUCCAUAUGAGCGAGCCAAUGGGUGGAUAACCCGGCAGUGUCUGAGAAAGGGGAUGGAGGAGUCCACAGUUAUGGAAACAUAUGCUAUAUAUGACUGGUGUGUACAUAUGAUACUCAGCGGGAAAUUCAACCCAGUGGAUGCACUUGGUAAAACAUCUUUGAUGAAAACCAGUGAAAGACUUAUGGAGAAGUUAGACGAGGAUUCAUCUGCUGUCACAGGCCGAAAGCAACACAGAAAGAAAAAUGUCCUUCUGACUGACAGCAUGAAAAUCCACAUGAGGUAAUUCUACAUGGAGCUUGGUAUUGGUGUGAUCCAAUUUCCGGAUACAGUUGCAGAAAUUCACAGUUCAGUUGAAGUGACAGAUUCAAGUGAUAGGAACUAUAAAUUUGUCUGUGACAAAUACAGAGGAAAUAAGCCGCCAUCCAUUGUGAAGCUGCCGUGUGUUAACAACAAUCAGUUUGCGCAAGUUUGUUUUUUCUUGGAACAUUCUGUGAAUAGUUCCAUUCAUCACUGGGCAAUAGUCGAACUCUUUCCACUGGCAGAGAAGUGCAAUUCGUUCUUUUGCAUGGAAGACAAGCCUCUUCAACGAAAACUUUUCCAUUCAUCUCUACUCGGUAAACCAUUGGUAAAUGUGAAGAACCAGGGAAAAGUUUGGAUUCUUAGGGAUUAAGUUCUUUGAGUGGUAAUGAACAUUCUGACUAUUAAGUUUUAUGAUUAUGAGACUUGUUUAAAAUUGCAGUGACAUUUUGUUGUUUGAUAUUGUUUUCUGUUCGAUGACCUAUUGAAAAAUUAAACAAUAUCAAAAAGUGC
rnacentral:misc_RNA from 1 species